rnacentral:rRNA from 1 species
UACGUAGGGUGCAAGCGUUGUUCGGAAUCAUUGGGCGUAAAGCGAACGUAGGCGGGUUGGUAAGUCAAGUGUGAAAUCCCUGAGCUUAACUCGGGAAUUGCAUUCGAUGCUGCCAAUCUUGAAUGCUUGAGAGGGUGGUGGAAUUCCAGGUGUAGAAGUGAAAUUCGUAGAUAUCUGGAGGAACAUCCGAGGCGAAGGCGGCCACCUGGCAAGACAUUGACGCUGAGGUUCGAAAGCGUGGGGAUCAAACAGG